CCACGAGUGCUCCCCCUGGUGGCGUUCACUUAUACGAACGGCGACCACCCAGAGAAGCACUUAUUAAUUGUUUCCCUUGCGGUUUGCAGUUUUGACACUUAGGUUGCGAGGUGGGAACAUUCUAACCUAACAUUCUAAAUGAGGGCUUGGGGUCUCCCACACCAAACGUCUUCCGGGCACAGAAAAGCCCGCCAAAGUGGCCGGUGCCCAAAAGUGACCCACCAACCUCCAAAACCCCCACACUGUGCAUUUCCUGAAUGAUCUCCGUUCGUGUGGCUCCGGUGCGAAUCCCGGGCAAGGGAAGCAUCUCCUUUCGGGAUAUGAAGGCUCC